GAUUCUUUGUCUCUCUUAUGAAAAAUCUUAAGAAGGAAACUAUAAUAAUAUUAUUAUGAUAUUUUAUGAACCGCUAAUCUGAUUUAGUGUUUGGGAAGAGGGUUGCACUACACCAAUUAUUUAUUGUUCUAAGUAUCAGAAUUUACAGUGGGAGGGUAAUAGGUAUAAAUUUGACCCAUUGAAAUUGCAGAGAGAGAAAACCGAUAAAGAAAAAGUUGAGGGUGGAAUCUGUGAAGCUAUCGUUUCUUUCUGGUUUGAUUUAGGGAUUUCCGUUCAAAUGGACGACGGCGAGCUUGAUUUCUCGACGCAGGAAGUGUUUUCGAGUCCGAACAUGGGGGAGCUUCCGAGCAGUGGUUCCAUGGACAGUUUCUUCGACGAGCUUCUCAAGGACACGCAUGCCUGCACGCACACGCACACAUGCAACCCUCCAGGGCCCGAUUUUUCGCACACUCACACGUGCUACCACGUGCACACCAAAAUCGUGCCGGCACCGGAUGAGGACCAGGUGGCCACCGACGACACGGCGGAGUCCGCGGAGAAGAAGUCGAAGAAGCGGCCCCUUGGGAACAAAGAAGCGGUUCGAAAGUACCGCGAGAAGAAGAAGGCUCGCGCGGCCUCGCUGGAGGACGAGGUGGUGAAAUUGAGGGCUCUCAAUCAGCAUUUGAUGAAGAAGUUGCAGAACCAGGCUGCUUUGGAAGCUGAAAUCGCGAGGCUGAAGUGCUUGCUGGUGGACAUAAGGGGCAGGAUUGAAGGGGAAAUUGGUUCCUUUCCGUAUCAGAAAUCGCCGAAUGCGAACCCCCCGGUGGUUAACCUGCCUGGUUCUUAUGUGAUGAACCCUUGCAACAUGCAGUGUGAUGAUAGGGUGUAUUGCCUUCACCCAGGAGCUGAUGGGAGAAUCGUGGAGAAUGUGUCGUUAAAUGGAGAAGAGUUUGGUGGUUGUGAAUUUGAGAACCUGCAGUGUCUAGCAAACCAGAAUUUGGGGCUCAAGGACCUGCGUGCAUGUGGAGUUGGGCAAGCAGGAUCUAAUGUAAAUUCUUCUGCGUCAAAAAGAAAAGGGGGAUCUCGUGCAGCAACAGCUGGUUGAAGAAUUAAUAGAACGGUGGUUUUCAUCCUUGCCAUGGUAAUAUCUCCUUCCAAUAUCUCGUUACCAGUUGCAGCAUCAGCCAUCCAUCAAGUCAUUUUUUAAAAUAAUUUUCUCUUUUUGACCCUCUGUGCAUUAUCGUGGUUCGAAUGGCUGUUCUACUAUGGAAGAUUAGUCAUAAAUCAAUGUUUCUUCUUAAAGUAUUAUGGUUGAUCUGUAAACAGCAUAGCUUAUGGCUGAGACAGAUUGGGCUCUUCUCUCCGCUAUUAGUUUUCUUGUUUUUUUAAGCAUGGAACUAGUUAAAUUGACAUCAUAAAUGUUUCUAUGCUCAGUCACUUUUACAUUUGUCAGUAUGUGAGUAUUGGUUGCUUUGUUUAACAAUAAGAGAAUAUUUAGUGGCGAUUCAUGUUUUCUAAAUUCGCAAGUUUUUCCUUGCUGGAUUACAGAACUUAGGGCAGAUGAGGUGUGUUUCAUCUUUCAGUACUUAGUGCUGUGGACAGCAUAUUUACUGGACAAGGGUUGACUAAUAUGUAUCCAGAAGGAACUGUAGUCCCCUAAGUGAAGAUUUUGCAUGCGGGCUUGUCUUCUACAAGUUAAGACAUACAAGUGACUUGUUUUGUAUUUGAGAACGCAAGUAGCUGUAGCUGAUUCAAUCAUGGGAAGCAUAUCUGCCUUUCUGCACUUAGAGAACAAGUCUUCACUAGUUUUUGGUGACCCUCUUUUUGGCAUGAGAUGAUUAAUAAAACAUUACGUCAUUGUAUCUUCUACUUGGAUUGUCAUUUCUGGACAAAUUUUGUAAUAAUUAACCUCGCAUUGGUUUCUCGUUCAA